rnacentral:lncRNA from 1 species
AUCUGUUUUGAGGCGUGGGACAGAAAGUGGCAAGGAAAAGAAUAUCUUAUCCUGUCCUAAGCUUGACAGUGGUUAGUCCUAGGUAUUUGAGAGUAAGUGCAGACUUACUUGCAGGAGAUGAAGAAAAGGUAAAUUACAAGAGGCUUUACCCUUUCUCAGGAUUUAGCAGCCAGAGGAUCAGGUGUUGCCCAGGGCAUUGGUUUGACUAAUGAUACUGGAUAAUUUAAUUGAGUAGCUCAUAGUUAAGUUACAAGAAUAAGAUAUAUUGCAGGUCUGUUUGCAUUCAUCUCAUUAAUGUUUCUCUACUAUAACCCAUUGUGCUAUUAUGUUUCUAAGCUGAAGAGCCUUGCUGUGCAAUCCUACGUGUUGUCUACUUACUACUAAGCCACACUGUGUUCAUUGGGAUUUACUUCCAGGUAAACAUAUAUAGGAUUGCAGACUUAGACUUUCUAUGCACAGAGGCUAUUCUGUAUCCAUACUGUAGGCACACCUCUACUUCUCUAGGCCGUAGGUCUUCAGCCAGAGGGUCAGGACCCAUAGGUGGGACGUAGCAAAGUUGUUGCUGCCAUAUUGGAUUCCAUCUACGGCUGACUAGCCCAAAGGAAGCAGUACAAGGGGGGUCUGAGCUAGGACAUGUUGAGACACUUAUUUUAUAAUUUUUCAUGAGGGCUGAAAUGUGGCAGGAGAAAGGCCUGAACCAUUUUUAAAUAAGAUACAUAUUUCUGGCCAACCACAUGUCCCACCUUUCUAUAUCUAUGCCUCUAGUGAGGGACCUCUCUAUGGAGCAGCAGGGGCACUCAGUUCACUUUCUAGUCUAUUUCAUGGCUUUCUAGACUUCUCCUACAAUUCACUUCUCAGCUAAGAUUAAGUGCAGAAAUAACUGCUUUUCAUUUGGAAGUAUUGCUAUGGUGAAUUGCAAUUUUAGGAUUAAUAAUGUGCAUUAUUAAUUAUAACUCAAAUGUGAAAUUGGGUCCCAUGUUAUAAAUUGUGAAUUAGAGGUAGAUCUUGCAUUUGAAGGCCAUUGCUCUAGGCUGUCCUGGUGAGUGUCUCCAUACACACACACACACACACAGAGAGAGAGAGAGAGAGAGAAGUGGGUGGAGGAGAGAAACAGGGCUCUCUUGAAUUCUAGGAGCUUUUGUGACCAUAGUGUCGUAUGCAGUAAGGAAAUGUUUCCUCAGUAAAUUUAACUUCAUACCUAUCAACACUGUGUGGCAAUAUGACAUUUUAUUCUCUAAGCACUUGGUUAUGUGAGAUCAUUCUAUGACACUUUCUAGUCAGCUUCCACUUAACUACCUUGAAUAAUUUUGUAUAGUCUUUAAGAUGGCUGCAAACGUAGAAGGAAAAUAACCCAUUGUGAAUGUGAAUGUUCACAUUCAAAGGGCCUCAAGUGCUUGUGUGUGUUUUUAGGUUAAACGAGUUAAAAUAAAAGCGUGAAAUGCUUUGAUAUUUUUAAUUGCUGGUAAUCUUGCAGGUAAUCAAGUACUAUGUAAGGAGCUUGAUUAUAUUUUCUUCUUCCAUAUUUCCAUUAACUACAGAAUCUUGUGGAGCAAUGUACAGUAGAUCAAUGCACUACAGAUUCUGAUUGUUUUUUUAAAGGACAAUUUUGUAUCUCCACGGCAAGACUUACAAAGUCUGCAGAAAAUCUUGCUGGUUCAGGGAGCCUGUGACUUGUACUGCUAUUAGUCCAUUGAUUCUGACUUAGAAAUUGGUUGCCUGCCCAUAAGCCCCUCUUGUCCUUCUUCCUACAAUUCCACCUGGACAGCACACUAUUCUUUGCUAUUAAAAAUCCAUGUUAUGUAGAAAUUCUGAAUAAAGCAAGGAAGAUAUUUAUACACAAAAAUCCCGCUUCCUGGGUAAAUAACUGGGAGUAGGAUGGGAUAUAGAAAAAUAAAAAGCCCUAGAUAUCCUCCUUCUCCACAGAGCUCUGUUUGCAGUGUCCCUUUGUGAUGUAUUUUCAGGAGUGUUAAUACUUGAAAGACAUAAUACAUUUUUUAAGCUCCUGCCAUACAUGAAAGUGGCCUAAUUCUUUAAACUGACUGAGCAUCCAUUAUAAUGAAUUCAUGUGAAAAUUGGGCCAACUAAUUGGGAAGUAAAUGAGGGAAAGCUAGGAGACAGAAGACUUGUUUACAAAAACCCUUAAUGAACUGGUUGAUUUGUUAGAAACAGGGGAAUAUUUCCCUAAUCGGUUUAAUUCCAUCUAUGGCCAUCUUCUUUGAUGACAGCAAAAAUAUAAUGAUUGAAUAUUCUUUCAUGUCAUUUCAGCUAACCUUAAGAAAAAGGAAAUGACAAAGUAAGAGGAAGAAGUGUUGACCUCUCACAUUGAAUAUGGUGUUGAUAUUCCCAAUUCCUGGUUGGAUGAAUACAUUUUCAUUCAACCAAGGUUUGAGUCAGUUAUGUAACAGAUGUCCAGAGAGGAUAUUCAGACAUGGCAUAAACUCAUUUUAAAGUUCAAUAUGGAUGCAAAACAUCCACACAUUUUUGUUUCCUAUCCUCCCUACCCGCUUUUGGUUUCCUCGCCUCCUUAACUCCCUCUAAUCGUAAACUCAGUGGAUAAAUGCUAUCAGAGGUGACUCCAAAUUGGAGCCUCUGAGAAACAAGAGGGAUGUAUUGGCAGGCUCUGGAGAACCACAGGGGAUAAUUUUAAGGGGGUAGCCUAAGGAAGUGACUCCCCCUCCUCAAAAAAAUCAUCCUAAAGAGGACUGAGCCUACACAGUAGUACCACUGAAUGUUGCUUUUCUGUGAGCAAAGCAAAGGAAUUGAAUGGAGUGUCCUAGGAGAGGGCAUAGCAGGCUGUCUGGAACCCUGAUGGAGACGCCACAGCAUGUUGUAAGUCCCUUGCAAAGCCUUUGCAAACUCUACAAAGGCCUUUCCUUUCUUUGGUUCAACCUAAACUUACCAUAUAAUAGCCAGUGGUCUUAUCCCCAUUUUGUAUAAAAAUAGGCCAUUGGCUCAGACCAGAACUCCAGCUAAUCUGGCAUUUUCUCAAUAGCAGCCAAUCAGAGACUGCCAGGAAGCUCAACAGCAGGACAUGAAGUUAAUAGCUAUCCUCUAUUUGGUCUCAGCAGUUUGUAUUCAGAGAGACGGCCUUUGAACAUGGGGAGUCAAUUUAGCUUUUAUCGUUAAUACACGUUGAUAGACUAUCCUCUCUGAUUUUCUCUAAUCCUUUUAAAAAGCCAUCUAAGGUAGUAGCCAUUGCCACUUGUUGUAAGAACUUAAUGCUGUAAAAUUGUGAAAUUAAUACAAAUCUUGCAAAAGAUGUAAUAUUCUUUACAGGCCCUCACACACCCUACAUCUCUGAUUAUAUGAUAUGAUAUGUCUUGUGUGUAACUUUCUGUUCGGUAACAGCAUUUGAAUAACCCUAGAACUUGCUUUCCUAGAAUUUCUGCAUAUAUCUGCAGUCUUUUGGUCCUGCCUUGCAAAUCCUGUUCCUUUUCAUUUCAGUGUUUCUGAGCUCAUUAUUUUGAUCAUAUUCUGCCUAGCAUAGUGUAAAUACUAGUAUAUCCCAGGCACAUGGUCUUAGGCACAGGAACUUUGCUGAAGCAAAGCAGAUCUUAGUCUACUCAGUUUGGAUGAGAGACCACCCAAGAUCCUACAUGCAUCACCUUCAGUUCCUUGAUGGAAGAAGGGUGGGAUAGAAAUGUACUAAAUGAGAGGUUCUGCUGGGCAGCUUCAUGCCCUUUUUACUAUAAAAUGGGAUUGAAACAAGAUGUGUCUGCUUGUAUGUCCUACAGUGUUUACAUUUGGAAAAUGUGUUAAGUAUGUGUCAAGAUUUUCGGUCUGUUUUUGAAGAAAGAAGUGUUGGCCUUAGUUGGCAAGACAGUGUAUUUGUAUGUAUGACCCAAUUCACAGCCAGUCUUUCUUCCCAGGAACAUCAUAAUACAAUAGUAUACAAAAAGCAGUCAUUUCAUUAAAGUACAUUCCAGCUUUUUGCUGCGACUUAAAAACACAUAAGUCAAAAGGCAAGGCAGUACCAUUUUGACAUAAUUCACUACUACCAAAAUAAUGCUUUGGAAAUUCUUCCAUCUUGCUGUCAUCAUACGCAAAGGAGAACAGCUUUUUAAUUUAUAAAUCUAUUUUUUAUGUGGAGAGCAUGCUAUGUGCAGUGUAGUAACCCCUCUCCCCAAUAUACAGACUUCCCCCUCCUCUAUAUAACAAAUCAUUGUGUCAAAUGAAACAUGAAAAAAGGAAAAAGAAACACAGGAAUGCUUGGCAACUAGAAAAUUGUUCUUUUACAGACAGCUAGCUGCACCAUGCAGUGCACUGGAUCUGACCACAUGGAACGGCACAGCAUACUCCAAGGGGGAAGGAUCAGGGUACAAAUGCACUAACUGGUAGUGGGCUCCAUGCUAUGGUACAAAAAUAGGCUUCUGGGGUUCUUGACUAUGAACAGGAACUUACGGUUCUGAAAAGGAUACUGCAGCUUCAGUGUGUGCCCCAGGUGCAGAUGCACCAACUGGAUGAAAACUGCUUGUUGGAUGGAGUGAUGCACAUCACAGGAAUCGAGCAGUUCUGGGGAUAAUGUUGAAUGUCUUUAUUAUAGAAGAACUGCACUACUCUCAGGUUCUUGGGCAAGUCACAUGUGUUUGGGGGCCAGGAGUAGGGAGGAAUAACAACUCCCUCUCUGUACCCAGCAACACAAUCAGAUAGAACAGAAGGUUGUUGGCACAGGGAUUGCACAGGAAUAAAUACAUCUGGACUUGAUGUAGAAGAUGGUAUGAAGGCUGGCUGUACUGGAAAGUGUGAUGCAGGUACAGGGCUGCUGAUUGAAGCUAAAUGUUCAGUAGUGGAAGAAAAGGCCAAAGGUGCAUUAGGGUGAACAAUGGUGCUUGAGAUGGCUGGGUUCACCAUAGCCUCCUGGAAGUAACCAUAUAGAGGAAAUUCUUCUGAACCGGCCACUUCAGCCUCCAAGGAGCUGCUGUACACAGGAACUUCUGAAGAUUAUGAACCAGCUGCCCCAACAAAGCUUGCAGUAGAUUCUGCUUGACUAAACGUAUCUGGAGAUUCAUGGCUUAGAUCUUCCAUCGCCUUGCUCUUCAUCUUCGUUGGAGGAAAGCUGACCUGGCUCUUCAAAGGGGAAUGCACUUGGUGAUCACCUUGUCAUACAACCUCUUGCAGGAGCUGGAGCUGCUGCACCUUCAUUGCCAUCAUUAUCAAAAGCAGGAAAAGUUUUGAGGUCUUCUUUGGCUUCACAGAAAGUGGCGGCUUCUUCCAAGUCCUGAAGUGCUUUACUUUCCCUGGUUUGACUCUCCAAACCAGGGUCCUCUACACUGCAAGCAUCUAUGAUUGUACCUGUGUUAUUUGGGCAUUCCAUAUUUCCUGCCAGGGUGAUGUGGCUGGUAAUGCUCAAAAGGAAUUUGAGUGUAAGGAAAUAGGGAUGCCCAACCUAAAGCAAUAUUCCCGGGAAAGAAAGCAAGGAGGGCCCAUGUUGUAUGUUCUUUGGAACAAUCUCUGUUGUCUCACAUCUAUACCUCCUCUUAAAAAGGGCCCUCCGCCCAACACGGGAGCUUGUUGUAAUGGCUACAGAUUCUCAGCUGAUACAACCAGCUUCUUCCCUAGAUCCUCAUGGAAGACCGUGACAUUAUGGUCCUCCCCCAAUGUCUUCUAUCUAUGUGUGAUGGUAUUUCACACCAGACUCCAGGCAUGCCUGGCAUGCGUCUCCUAAGUUGUAGUGAUGUCCCGCGAAUGUUAUGUGCUGCACUUUAGAAGUUCUUUAUGGUCACUCAACAAUAUAUCAUAAUCUAUGUUGCGAUAGAUUGUUGGGUCCAGCACCACUAGAACUUUGUGUGGAAUGGGGCUGUUUGUAGCCUCCGAAUGCUGCUCAGAAAAAGCAUGGUGGAAACUCAUCCUAUCCCUAGCUAUACCCUCGCUCAUAACUGCAUUAACCGCUCAGCACACUUCCUCUGCACAGCUGUAAGUGUAGUGCCUGUACAUAUGCCUAGCCCAAGAAAGAGCAGCACAAACACUCUAAGGAAGAGCUGGAGAGAGAAGCCAUGCCAUGUAGCAUUUCCUUAUAAUCCACAAAACAGACUCGCAGAGUUACCUGUACUUUGAGCUGCAGUCCUACGCUCAGUUAUUUGAGAGCAAAUCCCACUGAACUCUGUUAGAUUUCUUCGUUUGAGCAAACAUGCACAGGAUUGUGCUGAAAGAGUUUAGCUUCCCACUGGAGAAAAUGUCGUGCAAUAUGCAAAAUAAUACGAAUUUCUCAAAAAAAACUGUUGCUUGCUAAGACAGAAAUUUUAUAUAUUAUUUGACUGAACUCCCAAGUAGAUAUCCAUAGUGCCAGAUUGUAAUUUAGCAAAAAGUGAGGGGGGCAUGACUUUUGUAUAUUUGUGAUGUUAUUAAAGUAUAUGAAAUGCCAUUUUAUUUUUUCAUAAAACACUUGCUGAAUUUAUGACUUAAAUAUGUGCCAGAUAAACCCUGUUAAAGAUUUCCCCUCCCCUUCCAUCACUGGUGUUAUUCAUGGAAAAUUUGUAUGCAUCAUUUGGUGCAGUUCACCCCCACAGAGUGAUAGCAGAACAACUUCCCCUCCCAAGAAUAUGUAUUCUGUACAUGCAGCUGCUCCUUAAAGCAAAGGUGCUGAGCUCUCCAAACGCUCCAAGUCUGCAGUACAGUCGUACCUUGGAAGUCAAACGGAAACCGUUCUGGAACUCCGUUCAACUUCCAAAACGUCCAGAAACCAAAGCACGGCUUCUGAUUGGCUGCAGGAAGCUCCUGCAGCUAAUUGAAAUUCCUGUCAAACGUUCAGCUUUCAAAAAAUAGUUCACAAACUGGAACUGUCACUUCCAGGUUUGCAGCGUUCAGGAGCCAAAACAAGAACUAAGCUGUUCAAAAACCAAGGUACGACUGUAUUCCUGUUUGCUGUGGUCUUGCAAUCCAUGCAGAAAGUGUUUCAGUGCAAAUGACUGCAGAAUGUAAUUGAAGGCUCCAGAUCAAAUGUGAAAAAAGAGAGUAUUCAAGUAAGGUCUGAAAACAAACCAGUGGGUCCUGAUAGGUGACCAUCUGUUGACACCUAAAGCAUUCCCCCAAAUCUGUUCAACCUGUUGAACGGGUUUUAUUUAUUGCACUUUGAACGAUAGCUGGUAGCUUGCAUGUGAAGAAAUCACAUGGCUAUUAGUACAUUUGUAGCCUUGCACAGAUAGUGAGUGGUUGUGUUUUAUACCACUUGGCCUUCAUGUCUUCCUAGUGUCUUCUAAAACAUUUAGUAUUUAUACCUACUUUUCUGUUAAUUUACUGCAUCUAACCUUUGCCCUCACAGUAUUUAAGGGUCUACAAUGACUAUUGCUUAAGUUGUAAAGUAGUUUUUAAUGUUACAAUAAAUACCAAAUUCCUUAGGCCAGUAUGAGAUAGAUUUCCCUUCUCCAGUCAACCCAAACAGAAUGUCCAACACUCAGAAGAAAAUGUAAAAUUUUGGAAAAGUUGGGAAGGGAAGAUACUGCAAAUAUUUACUAUUACAGCCAUCCAAACUGCUUUUUAAUUACGAAAGCUGCAAAGAAGCACAGACUGUGUUCUGUUAUAGCAGCUUCUUCCCAUCUUGCCUCCUUUCCUGGCUGGCUGAUUUAGGAAAAAGGCUGGUGGUCUUUGGUUUUCACAACUACUAGACUGUACUGUUUCAGGUGCACUAUGAUGAAAGAUGUCCCCAAUAACAAACAUUCCUUCACAUAGAAAGUUAGGAUGUUGAAGAGAAGACUAGAUGGGAGCAAAUCUCAUUGACACCUUUGCAUGCUGUAUCUACAUUCGGGAAAUUACGUUUUUGAAGUGUGGAGCCUAUAACUACUUAAAGUAUGCUACUGUUAAGUGAGGGAUGCAGCAGGUACCGGUACUUCUAGGCAGCUGUGUGAGAAUCCCAUGCACUCACUUGUCAAAACCUGUGACAGCUAGCCAAUUGGGGGCGGCUGAAGGAAGGAGAAGUUUAAAAUGUAGCCAAAUUCAAAAAGCUUAAGAAGUGCUGCUGUAUAAUUUGAUGCAGUUAGUAGC